UCAGACACGUAACACUCACUAGUUGUGUGACCCUGGAAUGAAAUUUGCCCUGGAAAUGACAGAACAAAAAUGACAAGGAGGAACUUGAUAGCCAUUAUAAGAGCUGAUGAGAAGAGAAGAAGACCCAGGGCGGAGUCUCCAUAAACACCUGUAGUUCUGGGGCAUGAUAUGAAUGAUGAACCAGUAAAGGGGAGAGAUGAAGCAUUUAUAUGGCAUCUGCUAUUUUCCAGUAACUGUGUGAAGCACUUUACAAUAUUAUCUCAUUCA